rnacentral:tmRNA from 1 species
GGGGCUGAUCGGUUUCGACGUCGAGACCGGGAACCGUGCUACGCGACCGGAGUUGCCCAGACUCCCAAAACGGGGCACCACAAGACACGGCAAUGAUGAGCCCGUGCUCCUCGCAGCCUGAUCGACUGAUCAGACGGUGAGGUACUGCGACCCCCACGGGGGCACGCGGGGCCUGUCCACUGCAGCCUGGCAACAGAAGCAGAGGAGGACAGCAGGGAAAGACCGCUGACGGCGAGAAAGACCGCUGACACCGGAGAAAGAUCCGGCGGAGCCCGCAAGGGCAGCCGACCCGACGGCACGCAAUCCGCAACGCGGCAAUCGGGAAUGGUCGUAGCGGAGGCGGCGACCGCUCGACGGACGGGGGUUCGAUUCCCCCCAGCUCCACCA